rfam:Glycine soja cultivar W05 scaffold1765_24, whole genome shotgun sequence.
AUUGGUAUAGUUGGUCAGGAAUAAGCUCAUAUCCCAUGAAGACAUGGGUUCGAUUCCCAUUGCCAAUG